AUUGAACGCUGGCGGCAGGCCUAACACAUGCAAGUCGAGCGAGCGGCGGACGGGUGAGUAAUGUCUGGGAACCUGCCUGAUGGAGGGGGAUAACUACUGGAAACGGUAGCUAAUACCGCAUACCAUCAGAUGUGCCCAGAUGGGAUUAGCUAGUAGGUGGGGUAACGGCUAACCUAGGCGACGAUCCCUAGCUGUUCUGAGAGGAUGACCAGCCAAACUGGAACUGAGACACGGUCCAGACUCCUACGGGAGGCAGCAGUGGGGAAUAUUGCACAAUGGGCGCAAGCCUGAUGCAGCCAUGCCGGGUGUGUGAAGAAGGCCUUCGGGUUGUAAAGCACUUUCAGCGGGGAGGCGUUACCCGCAGAAGAAGCACCGGUUACCUCCGUGCCAGCAGCCGCGGUAAUA
rnacentral:rRNA from 1 species